GCAGCAUCAGGAGGUGAGGUGGUGAACGACCAAGUGUUAGAGAGAAAGAGAGUUGAUUUUGUGAGUGGAGAGGGGGGAGGAGACAGGGAUGGAGCAGAGCAAGGGAUGAGGCAAGCAACAAAAUUUACCACCUGAUUAUGAGAAGAGGGAGAGAGUUGCCAGAGCUUCUGUUGCUGUUGUUGCUCCCUCCCUGCACUGCCUCUUCCCUGGCUCCCCUCCCAAAUCUCUCCCUCCCCCUCUCUUGCCAUUUUCUGCCCCUGUUAUAGCUCCAGUUGUUCUGUUUGUUCUUCAGUUCUGCAGGCUCCUUUGUUUGUUCCUGCUUACGUUCUCAUGCUGCCACUGUCAUGGUCUAGAUACAUACAUGCCCUUGGAUAUGUUCAGCUAGCUUCUUUUCACCUGCCGAAUUCUUGUUUAAUGCUUCUUUUACGUGCUCGGACGCCACUGCACUUGCAUUGCUUCCACAACUCGUCAAAAAGUUUGGUACUUCAAUUCAAACCUGUUCUUGUGAGGUCCAGGGAGGAGGCAAACUUGUUCAUCCAUACAUGUUUAAAAUCUGUUUCAUUUUCAAACAGAUACUUCCACUGCGCUUCCAUUCCAGGCUUCCAGCAUCCUCUUCCUCCAACACGCUCGUUGACGCGUGGCUCUUUGGUUGCAACAAUGAGCUACCAUAAGGAGUGUUUGGAAGGAGUGGAAUCGUCAGAGUUUUCCAUCGGACCUCCCUCGACACUUGAAGAUGUAUAGCUUUUAAGAGUGCAUAAGUCGGUGACUGCUAGCAGGACAAGCAUCCAUGCAGUGAUUUUUCACUCGGUUUCUCUUGUACAUAAACUCUGUUUUUGUCUCUGCUGUUCAACAUUCAGCAAUGCGAAAUGAACGGCUGUAUUCAGACGUCCA